UCCAAGAUACCCAAUCCAGAUACUUUCGCUUACAAGUCAAAUAGACCUCGUCUCUCCCGAGCCUAUUUCCUAUAGUCCAAUCCGGCCUAAGGUUUGCUAGGUCCCCUAAUACUCAACCCUAGCUCUGAUACCAAAUUAAUCUGUCCAUAUAUCUAUCUGUUUAUUGAACUAACCUGCAGGUUGCCUCUCUUUGACCUAUUGGUCGAGCUUUUCCCUUGGGUGGCCGUACCCACUGGGAACCAUGGAGUUGGUUCUCACCCCACGUUGUUUUGGGGUGUUACAGGUUCGCACGUGAGCGGCGCGGCGGCGCGAGGCAAGGGCGUAGCUUCGUAGAUAGCGCCCUACCCAGAGACCAGAGUUAGCAGUACCCCGUCGACAUAGCUUAGGGGUAUGGGGUGUUAUUAAUGAAAAGAACACAAUGUAUCAACGUGUAAAUAAAUUUGUAAGAACUUAGAUUGCAUUUGGAUGAAAAAGAAUGUAAAAAGAACUGUGAUGUAAAAAGUAUGAAUGUAAAUGUUUGUAAUAAUAUAGGAUGUGUUUAUGUUGUUUGAUACCUUCCAUUAUGCAAUCUUGAUUGAUAUCAGUUCCUGAUUGGAACCUUCGUAUUGUAUGGAUUGCGUUGCCUUGAAUGUACAGGGGAGACUCUGUCCGCAGUACAGGGGAAACCCUGUCCAUUCGGCGAUGUCGGCGGCGCUGCGACCUCGGCCAAAUAGGCGGGUGGUCGCGAGUCGUGACAGGAACACUGUCAACGACCCACCAGAAAGUCUGGAAAAGCUCGACACACAAAUCAAACACUCGAACCUCGCAAUUUGCAAAGGUCCAGUGUGUUACAUUCACCCCUCCUAAAAAGGAGUUUCGUCCGCGAAACUCAAGGCAGAAACACACCUCAAGGCUCCAUCUGAAAAAGAUGAGGAUAGCGCUCCUGCAAAGCGCUCUCUAGUUCCCACGUUGCCUCCCGCUCCCCGUGGUUGCUCCAAAGAACCUUCACAUACGGAAUAUCCCGAUUCCGCAGUUUCUUCAUUUCGCGAGCCAAAAUCUUCACUGGUUGCUCCUCGAAGCUCAAAUCCUCGCGCAGCUCCACUGGUAUAGCUUCCAAGACAUGAGCUGGAUCAAGAAUGCACCUCCGAAGGACCGAUACAUGAAAGACGUUGUGCACGCCAGAUAGGUUCGGUGCUAGAGCAAGUCGAUACGCUACCGGACCCAUACGCUCCAAGAUCUCAUACGGUCCAAUGAAACGGGGGCUCAACUUUCCCCGAAUCCCGAAUCUCUUGAUUCCUCUAGUCGGCGAGACUUUCAAGAAAACAUGGUCUCCCACUUGGAACUCCAAGUCCCGCCGCCGUCGAUCAGCGUAGCUCCUCUGUCUACUCUGCGCCGUCAAAAGUCGCUCCCGAGCAAUUCGAACCUUAUCCUCAGCUUCCUGGAGCACAUCAGGGCCUAAAGCCAAUCUCUCGCCGACUUUACUCCAAUGAAGUGGCAAUCUACACUUCCGUCCAUAGAGUGCUUCAAACGGCGCCAUCUUGAUGCUUGCUUGAUAACUGUUGUUAUAAGCAAACUCCGCCAUAGGUAGAUGCUGCGACCAUCCUCCCUGGAAAUCCAUCACACAUGCCCGGAGCAUAACCUCUAAAGUCUGUAUAGUGCACUCCGACUGUCCAUCACUCUGCGGGUGGAAUGCGGUGGUGAAAUCCAAUCAAGUGCCCAAAACGUCCUGCAGACUCCUCCAAAAGAGAGACACGAACCGAGUGUCUCGAUCUGAUACUAUCGGUGUAGGCACUCCAUGAAGUCGCACAAUCUCGUCGAGGUACACUUGUGCGAGCUUCUCCCCAGUCCAAGUCAUAUGAAUACGUAUGAAGUGCGCCGACUUCGUCAAUCUAUCCGCGAUCACCCAAAUAGCAUCAUGCCCAGCCUGUGAGCGAGGCAAUCCUGUCACAAAGUCCAUGGUGAUCUUCUCCCACUUCCACACAGGGACAGGUAAACUCCGAAGCUUCCCUGCGGGAACUCGGUGCUCCACUUUUACUUGUUGGCAAGUUAGACAACGAGCCACAAACUCACCAACGUCCUUUUUCAUCUCGGGCCACCAAUGAAGCAACUUUAGAUCCUUGUACAUCUUGGUGCCACCCGAAUGUAUAGCAUAGAGCGCCCGGUGCGCUUCUUGAAGAAUAUCUUCUUUAAUCCCCGAAUCCGCGGGUAUACAAAUCCGCCCACGGAAACGUAUCCAUCUCAGAUCAUCCCAAAAGGGAGUCGCUGGUGCAACCAUCAACCAUUUUACCUUGAAUCUUUUGCAAUUCCAAAACGAAAACUUGCUUCUCUUUGAUCCUAUCCAAAAGACUAGGUUGCACUACCAAAUUCAUCAACCUCAAAUUCACCACUCGGGAGUACUCUCAAUCCCACUGCAAAAUAUGGUCGGGGCUAAGCUCAAAAGCUUCAUCAGUCUACUAAGAUCGUCAUCUUAGUGCUAACUCAAGUCCAAGUAAACUCUCACAAGCCUAGGCCAAAAGGCCUAGCUUCGACAGAAGGCUCACAACGCAAUCACUUUGAAAUUUCCGAUCCCAAUGCCUUUCCUAGCAUUGGAUGCUCCAGGUGUCCAUGGUCCCCAACUCAAUUCUCGCGAUAGAGGUGGAUCAAUCCACCGUUCAACGACAGCUCUCUAUCAAAGUCAUCCUGAUGCGAUCGUCAAACCAAAGUCAAUUCCAUCAGUCCUCAUAUAAGGUUCUAUCCUGAAGGACUCAAUUCCUUGUACGCGCUCCUGACACGGGGAAUUAUCAACUUGGUACCUUCCCUCUCACAAGUUUUCCAUCCAUCAGUGAGAGUUCCACAACUCAAUCACCUCAAACCUGCCUACGCAGUCCAACCUCGCACAUCCUAUCAAAAUACCCCAAGUCAUCCGCAACGGUUCUACAAAUCCACCCAGAGGGCUCGGAUUUAUCAUUCCGCGAACCCUUCCACAGGUAGAGUAUUAUAGGCUUAGGCAGCAUCAUCCUCGUGAUGUCCACACCUAGCAUCACAACCCAUUUGAGGUACGACCUCAAACUCCAACAUCAACAGCAUUACUCAGAUUACUCACAAUCUUAACAAGUACACCCACAACUCAAGGCCAUCUGACAAGGUCAAUGGGCCUCAGCAACGGUCUAAACCUCCAAUCGUGGUUCAAUUUGAAUCACGAGAGUCGACAUACAGUCGGAACGGCCCAACCGGUCCCACAACAGGUGAGAGUGCUCCUCCACGAGGCAAAACACCAUCUAUAAAAUCUCCCUGUCAAUUGAGCUAACGAUUAGUGACUCGAUCGGGGACAUAACGACCGAUCAAGGACAUUCUUUAUUUCAAGGAUUCUCGAUCACCCAAAGCUAAUGGCCACUCAGGCCCCAACCCUCUCCAACACUUACCCUAUUUUAGGUAAGGGAGACUAUCAACGCAUCUAGCGGAAGUAAAUCCUCAAAUCGCACUAUUUCGUGCUCACCGUCCUCAAGGCGAGUCAAGUCAGCUCGCAAUCCAAGGGUACCAGGUACCCCUAACAACUCCACACCAAGGAAGGCCAAUCUAUUUGUUGGCACACAGAAUCAUCUCACGGGGUAGGGCGUUCGAAACGACACACCCGAUCAACCGAUCAUCCACACACGCCGAAAGGUUCAACACUAACAAAUCCUCAGGUUGGGUAACUACACACUAAGUGUGUCCUCGAUCUCACGAUCCAACACGUGGCUUUCCACGUUCUAGGGUCCACGCUCAGACUACCAUCCUGACCAAAACUCUGCCCUACCCGCAGGUACAGGGCCGCUGUCACACACAGCCGACUGCACCUGCCCAACGGGCCCAGGCUCCACAGUCCCCAAAUGGUCCAAGCACGGUCGUCUCCAAGCACUAUCCGGCAAACAGCCGAGCCGGGGUACAACUAAUGCAAUCCUCGUGAAAUCUACAAGCAUAGCAAAAUAUGCCACCCGCAACCCGCAAAUCAAUCGCCUGGCUCGAGAGGCUACACAAUGUCGCAAACAGCGAACUAACGAAAUGUAAUGCAACUCGGUGAAUAGCCGAUCAUAGAUGCAAUGCUCCAAUAACCAACAAUGCACAACUCGAAUGCCACAAACGAAACUGAUACCUGUAGUCACAAACUCGGCCGCUGCCGCCUACUCUGUCUGGGCCACGUACAGGCGUCUGCUCAGGGCCCGUCGUGACCCUCCGUCUGUCGCUGGACGGGUGGCCUUCCGGCCUGACAGUGAGUAAAAGGCAUCCCCCGGCUGGGAUCCGGUAAUACUGGUACCGAUGCUGAAGAUGGCGCUGAUGCUAACCCCCUCGAACAGUCUGACAGGAAGUGACCCUCCUGGCCACACGAGUAGCACCUGCCCUGCCUCUGUGAGCACUGCUGCGGGUAAUGACGGCCACCGCAGAUCACGCAGCUCUGAGUCUGAUGACGCUCGGAUCCUCUAUACAGUGCUGAUGAGCCACGUUCUCGCGACUGGCUCCAGUUCCUGGAAUGUCUCGGCGGCCUCCCAGAGUGCGUCUGACUCGCACCCUCAGUCACGGGUCUCAUACCAUUUCCUUUGUUUGAGCCUUUCCGACGCUCCUGUAAGUCUGCCGCGCAGCUUUCCACGAUGAGGGCGCGGUUCACCACGUCUUGGUAAGUCUGAAGGUGGAAGGGUUGCACCAACCGUAAAAUCGAUGACCGAAGUCCUCGCUCGAAGAUGCGAGCCUUAUCCUCGUCGUCUCGCACAACAAAGGGCGCAUAGCGUAGAAGCUGAGAGAACUCCCUCUCGUACUCGGCCACAGUCCGAUCCUCCUAGCGCAUCUCGGGCAGAUCCUGCUCCACUUUCCUCUUCACGCGGACGAGGAAGUAAUGCUCUAAUAAGAGCUCCUUGAAUCUCUUUCAAGAAAUCGCUGCUAGGUCGGUGUCGGGAUUAUCCUGGAUGCCCACCCACCAACUAUAGGCCUCGCCGUCCAAAUGGUGAGUGGCGAGCCAAACUCUAUCUCUCUCCUCCACGAAGGUGUCGCGGAAUAACUUCUCCAUAUGCGUCAACCACUUCUCAACGAUCCAGUGGUCGGUUUUCUCUCCAUCAAAGAUCCUGGGAUCGCGCCUCCGGAACUCGUCGAGGCGAUCCAUGAGCCGCUGCCGCUCCGCUCUUUCAACCAUCAAGGGAAAAGUCGCCGCUGUCACAGACACCUGAGCUGGUGGUGCUGUCAAUGCCUUCUCCCGAAGGGCUACCGUAAGUGUCAUCUGCGAAGUGUCGAGUACAGGGGAUGACCCCCCCGGGCGCAACUAUUUCCACUGGUGCGGGUAGUACCGAGACCUGAGCCUCCCCGGCAGCUGCCUGUUGUAGAAGAAGGUCCUCCAGUCGCUGCAUCCGUACCUCCUGUCGGCGUGCCGUAUCCACCAGCUGUCGAGCCGCCGCCGCCUGCUGCGUCACCAGAUCAGUGAGGGCCACAAGCUGACUCCUCAACUCACGGACCUCUUUGGAUCCGGAGGCAGCGGGUAUCUCCGCUUCCUCAAAAGUCGUCGCAUCGUCCGCUCCAACUAACUUAGAGCGUGAAGUCGGCAUUGACACUUCAACAUCAUAAAAGCGCAAGUUAAUAUAACCCACGCUAUCGCAACCACGCUCAAAUAAUAAUACCCCAAAUCAUGCGAAAGUAAAGAAGUGUCCCAACUACUAACUCCCGAUGUUACGUUGUCGGCGGCCAACGUAACGCUCCGCGAAGUUAGAAGUCAAACACUCCGAUUUAACUCCACUUUCUAGAGUUAUCCAAGAUACCCAAUCCAGAUACUUUCGCUUACAAGUCAAAUAGACCUCGUCUCUCCCGAGCCUAUUUCCUAUAGUCCAAUCCGGCCUAAGGUUUGCUAGGUCCCCUAAGACUCAACCCUAGGCUCUGAUACCAAAUUAAUCUGUCACGCCCCGGGACCCAGCGGAAGCCCGCCCGGCGCGUGCCCAGACCCGCCAUAUGUCUACAACAUAUAAGGCGUCUAAAAACAACAAUAAUAAAAGCACUAAUACAAGACAUCUAGGAGUAUCAGAACAGAAUAAAAGUCUAAAUGCUACAACAAGGGAUAAGGAUAAAGCUGUAAAUCCACUAAAUAAACAUAAAGUGAUACAAGGAAAAUUUCAAAUACAAGUGCUAUAGGUAGAUACAUAGGUGGUCUCUAUACAUGGAUACAAAAACUCUCACUUUCUCAACUACAAAAGAAAGUGUAAACCACCUAGGCAAAGUACCGCUCCUUGCUAGCUAGCUAAGCGAUCCCCGUGCCGCGAUCCCGUGCCUCCGCCGGUGCCGAAGGCUCUGAAAAGGAAACCAUAAAACAGGGGCGUGAGAACUAUAAAAAAAUAGUUCCCAGUGGGCAAUUACUGACUUCAGUGAAUGCACCACAAGGCCCAAAGCUACAAAAGAGGUCAGUGACUAUAAAAGUAGAAAAGCGAAAAGUAAGUAAAAAUGUAACUUACUACAAUAUGAUAUCUCUACUUAGCAUAAUUAGCAUAAGUACGAAGCAACUAUGCAUGAAGUAAAAGUCCCCAACUAUCAUAAUGUUCACAAUGCGAAAUAGUAAAGUGCCGAUGUUUACUAUUCUAAUCAAGGUCCAAGUAAUACACUAAGUCAUCAUCUGUCCACGUGUCAUAAUGAACACUCAAAGUCAAAUCUGAAGAGACCCACCCGAAGGCUGUCUAUGGCCCUGAGACCCACCCGUAGGCUGUCUGGCCGGUGCCGAGCCUAAUGGCCCCGUGGUAGUCAUCAUCCCCACCCUAGGAAUGAGCCUGUCCCACGGCAAUCCACUUCGGCGCCCAAUCCGCAACGGCGAAUAUGAAUCGUGAUGGCUAUCUCCGGAGUGCCGGCUUGUAGGGAGCGACCUCACAAGCAUGUGCGAAUGAGCACAAUGGCAAGUAAUCAAACGAUCUGUCGUAAGUACCAAGUCCUCAUGUCUAAUAACAUGGAAUGUGUCAAGUAUCUCAAUGGCCUAUCCCUAUGUCAUCAUGUCUCUAACAUGGAAUAUAGCAGAUGUGGAGUGGCCUAUCAAUAUGUCUCUAUGUUGCAGUUUCAUAGUUUACUAGUCUCAAGUGCCCUUGAUGACACUCUUGUUCUCUAUGUCAAAGCAUGGCAACUAUGUUCCAAAGUACAUAUUCCAAGUCAUAAUCCUCAUAAGAGAUGUAUUUUUCACUUGCAAAAUAAACACUUUUCCUAUAUGCAUCCAUUCUACUCAUAUAGCUCUACUAUAUAGUGAAAUUUUCAUGAUACACAAGGCAUGCAUUUUAAGUGUCCCAAAAUUCAUAUAAAUCCCAUUUAGCAUAGAAGUGAAUUUAAAAAUAUUUUCAACAAAUAGAAAGAGCAUAGGGGCCAUUUCGCCCCAUUUUCCGAAGCCAAACCCACCGAUGACGACGAAACUCCUCGUUCGCUCCAACGAGGGUGUCCUCUAGUCUCCUAGUACCUAAAGGUGUGAGAACAUGUGUCAUCUAGUCGAAACGAACGACGCUAAGUUCAAUCUUUAAGCUAUUCAAGCAUAGGUGGAGGAAAACUGACCUCUAGUGCAAAAUCUCCUCUAAAGCUCCGAAAGAGAGCUAGAGUCCAUCCAAUCCCACAUAAUGGAAGCCUCUAAACCAUCAAUCUAGCUUCAAAAGCCCUAGAUUCAAAUACCCAAAAUAAACCUAAUAUCACAAUCUAGGGUUUCAUCUCAAAUCCAACGGUAAAACUUCAAUUUAGAGGAAAAGGAUGAGCUACUAACCUUUUAGAAGCUUCAAACAAGAUUCAAAAUCCUCAAAGUGUGGAGAUCUCCCUCUCCCCAAGCUCCAAGGUCAAGCUCCCAUGGAGGAAAAGCUUCCAACAAGCAAAAAGAGCAAAAAGAGGGUUUAAUCCUCCAAAAUCCAAGAGAAUGGGAUCAAAUCCAAGGGGGAAGGAGAAGAGGGGUGCCCUACCUUGCCCUCUCUGUGAUCUGAGCUUAUGAGAAGCCCUAAGGGGCGUGGGGUACUAAUAGAGAGGCUACAAAAGCAAAAACACCCCUGCAGUUCAAACUGCACGAAAUCUGCCUCCUUGUACCGGUACACGGGCUCUUGUACCGGUACAAGGCCCACGAAAAUGCAAACCCGAGGCUCGGGUCGCGGGGUCUGCGGCUCUGUACCGGUACAAGCCCGAUGGCUGUACCGGUACAACCAUCAAUCCUUGUACCUGUACAAGACCAACCUUGUUCCGGUACAAGCUCUGCUGCAGGCUAACCCGAGAGCUGUCCAAUGAAUCCAAUUUUUGGAUUUUGGUACCAAGCUUACAAACACAAUUCUCGGGACUCAAACCAUAGGUUGGAACACUGUCAACGACCCACCAGAAAGUCUGGAAAAGCUCGACACACAAAUCAAACACUUGAACCUCGCAAUUUGCAAAGGUCCAGUGUGUUACAGAGGCACUCUAUGGGCGUAAGUGUCGCUCUCCUAUCCAUUGGAGCGAAGUGGGUGAAAGAGUCGCCCUUGGUCCGGAUGUGGUGCGAGAGGCGGAAGAGAAAGUCCGUUUUGCUCGCCAAUGAUUGAUGACGGCACAAUCGCGACAAUGAAGCUAUGCGAAUAAGCGCCGAAAGGAUUUGGAAUUCGCGGUUGGCGACCGUGUGUUUCUCAAAGUGUCGCCAAUGCAUGGGGUGAAGCGGUUUGGCAUUCAUGGGAAGCUUAGUCCACGAUAUAUCGGGCCCUACGAAAUUCUAGACGAAUUGGGCCGGUGGCGUACAAGUUGGCAUUACCGCCGAAGCUUGCGGGAGUGCAUAAUGUAUUCCACGUUUCGAAUCUUCGCAAGUAUUUUCGGAACUCCUCACAUGUGUUGUAGUAUGAACCGGUGGAGUUGCAUGAGGAUGUCACCUAUGAGGAAUUCCCGGUGAGCAUUCUUGCUCGAGAGGAGCGGAAGCUACGGAAUUGGACUAUUCCGUAUGUAAAAGUGCAAUGGAGUAAUCACUCGAGGCGUGAAUCCACGUGGGAACUAGAGGAGAAGAUGCGCGAAGUCUAUCCUCACUUGUUUGAACAAGUGGACUACGGUACGUGUUUAAGUUUCGCGGCUGAAGCUAUUUUUAUGGGGUGGGGAAUGUAACAUAUCACUUUCCCGUAAAUCAUGCCGAGUUCCGUCGAAAUGUGCGGAAUGCGGAGUGGAACAAGUUGGUAUAGGUUCUAAGUGCGUUGGAACCUAUAUAUAUAGUAAAGGGACCCGAGAGAGUGAAAGUUGCAAUUCUGGCUAAGUUCCAGAAUUUUGGACUCUCGGGGACCGGUCCCUGCGGGGAGAGACCGAUCCCCGUAUCCGUAGCCUACCUAGAAAGCUGGAAAAGCGGCUAAGUCUUGGAAGACCAGGCUACGGGAACCUGUCCCUACGGGGAGAGACCGGUCCCCGUAGGUGAAAAAGUUGGGAAAUGGCUAAGUCAGGAAAUAUUGCUCUGGGGAACCGGUCCCUGCAGAGAGAGACCGGUCCCCGUGCGUGCAGUCAGCCCGAAAAGAGUGGAAAUUUGGCUAAGUCCUGUUAGGUGUACUCUCGGGGACCGGUCCCUGUGGGGAGAGACCAGUCCCCGUAUGCGAAAAUCGCCCAGUUGAGCUGAAGUGAAAAAUGGAUAGUUGAGGGGUUUAAAUGCAAAAGUGGCAUGUAACACACUGGACUUUCGCAAAUGGCAAGGUUCGAGUGUUUGAUUUGUGUUUCGAGUUUUUUUAGAUAUUCUGGAGGGUCGUCGACAUUGUUCCGACCUAUGGCUCGUAUCCCGAGAUUUGUGGUUUAAAACUUUGCACCAAAACCCAAAAAGUUAGAUUAUUGGUGUGCUCUCGGGUAGCCUUCAGCAGGCUGUGUACCGGUACAGGGUUGAUGGCUGUACCGGUACGGGGUGAUGGCUGUACCGGUACGCGGGGCCGUGUACCGGUACACAGGCAGCUUCUCAGCCAACCCGAGGCUCGGGUUUGGCAUUUUCAUGGGAUGUGUACCGGUACGCGACCCCGUGUACUAGUACGUAGUGCAGUCAGCAGACUGCUUGAACUGCAGGGGUGUUUUUGCGAUUGUAGCUUCUCUAUAUUAGUACCCCACGCCCCCUGGUGUUCCUUGAGCUUGGAACCAGUGGAGAGGAAGGUAAGGGACCUCUCUAUUCUCCCUCUUUGAUUUCCUUUGUUUUUAUUGGGAUUUUUCGAGGUUUAAUCCUCUCUUUUUGCUCUUUUGUGCUACUUGGUGCUAUUUCAACCAUGGGAGAAAGCUUGAGGCUUGGAGUUGAGCUUGUUGAAGGAGAGAUCUUCAACCCUAGUUGACUUCUAGCCUAGUUGGGAGCUUCUAUAAAGGUUAAUAACAUGUUUCUCUCAUUAGAUUCAUAUUUUACUUGAUUUUCGUUUAGAAACCCUAGAAAUGAGAAUUUGGGGAUUUUUGAUCUAGGACUUUUGGAGCUCAAUUGAUCGGUUUAGAACCUUCCUCUAGGUUAGAGUGGAAGGGUUCUAGCCCCCAUUUGGAGCUCGGGAAGCGUUUGCUUCACUAUAGGUGAGUUUUGCCCUUAUCUUGAGUUUGUUAUUGUUUUAGCUUGUUGUAGUUCGUUUUGUUCGUGUAACUCCCCUAGUUUUACCUAUAGGGAGCUAGGAGGUUAGUAGGCACCUCCCUUCGGCGAAACGAUGGGCUUCGAGGAGACUUGAUGGGUUUGGCCUCACCAAAAUGGGAUAAAUCAUCCCUAUAAUGGUUUUUACUUUUUGUAAAAUGAGAAUGCAUACAUAUUCUUACUAGAUAGAAUAUUGAAGAAUUUUAGAAUGCUUAAUAUGUGCAUGUUAUGUAUAAAGUAUAUUGGACCUCUAUGUAGUAGAGAACUGUUCAUAUUUGGAACCUUGCAUAUGGUUAGCAUUCUUACAUUUGAUUGAGAUCAUGUUGCAUGUAGUGCAAAUGACAUGUAGAUUACACUCUUGGACUUAGAACGCAUGCUUGGCAUGGUUGGACAUGUGGUCAUUGAGUGACAUAGGUUAGAGUGUAUGUAAAUUGUAAGCUAAUGUCAUAAAGCGGCAUUAGGCUUGGACUAGAGAUGGAUUUAGUAAGCUAAUGUCAUAAAGCGGCAUUAAUCUUGGAAUGGUUUUGGACAUAGUGAAAUGAUGCCAUAAAGAGGCAUCGGACAUAGUGAACUUAGUAAACCUUCACUUGAGGCACAGACUAGACCUAUGGGUUGCUAGUGAGUAUUUCCACGUUUUAGACAUGAUGACAUAGUGACAGGCCACUGAGACACAUGCUACAUUCCAUGUUUUAGAUAUGAUGAUAGGCCAUCGAAAAUCUACUAUAUUCCGUAUUUUAGACACGAUGACAUAGAGAUAGGCCAUUGGGACAAUUACUAUAUUCCGUAUGUUAGACACAAUGACAUAGAGGCAGGCCUUUGGGACAUGUGCUGUAUUCCGGGUUUUAGAUCCGAUGAAACAGUGAUGAACCAAUGGGACCUGAGACGGACUUAUUCGCUUGCAUGCCAUUGUGCUCAUUCGCACAUACUUGUGAGGGUCGCUCCCUACAAGUUGGCACUCCGGAGAUAGCCAUCGCAACACACUCCCUACAAGUCGGCACUCCGGAGAUAGCCAUCGCGACACAUGCUCGCUCGUGCGGGAUUGGGUGCCGAAGUGGGAUGCCGUAGGGGAGGCUCAUUCCUAGAAUGGGGAUGUUGACUACCAUGGGGCCAUUAGGCACGGCGCAGGCCAGACAGCCUACGGGUGGGUCUUCAGUCCAGACAGCCUACGGGCGGGUCUUACAAGAUUGGAACUUUAAAGUAGACACAUUGACUAGAACAGUAAACAAUAAGUGAUAAACACUACUUGAUUGUAUAUCGUAGUUGGAUUCAGUUUACAUUGAGAAUAGUGGUACCCUUAAUUGCCACUAACAUACUAGAUAGUAUACUUCAUAGUAUUACCUGUUGCAUCAUAGUAUACUUGGUAGCCAUGAUAGAACAUAAUUACUAUGCAUUGGCACAUUUGGAUCAUAUAGAGUAGAGUACUCCAUGAUGAUAUCCCGAUUAUUUAUGGCAUAGUAGAAUAGCAUUUUACUAUAUGCUUUAUUUACCGCAGUUAAUUUCUGUUAUCCAUUUCUGCUUUCGAUUUGGGCCUAGUGGUGCAUUUUGCUAAGGUCAGUAAUUGCCCACUGCGAACUAUAAAUUAUAGUUCUCACGCCCCCUGUUUUAUGUUUUCUUUCAGAGCCUUCCACUCCGGGAGAGGCUCGGGAUCGCGGGACAGGUUUCGCCUCGAGUUAGCUAUCGAGGGACUUGGUGAUAGGUGGUCCACUUCUCUUUUGUUUUCUUUUGGAGAGGUUGUGAGAGUUUUGUACCUGGUUAUAGAGACCACCCUGUUUUUGUAUCUUGAGAUUUGUGAUGUAUUAAUUUGCUUUAUGCUUUAGUGGUUCAAUUCUCUUUUUGACUCUACUUGUUGUUAGAACCUAGCUGUGUAUUUGCUCUGAUAUCUCUAGAUACUUUCAACUUCUUGUUCAUUCAUUCGUUUUGUUGUAGACGCCUUAUAUGUGCAGGCAUAUGGCGGGUCUGGGCACGCACCGGGCGGACCUACGCCGGGUCCUGGGGCGUGACAUGGCAUGUGUUGGGUAUAUGUGUGAGAGGGAUGAGUGUUAGGGCUCAUUCUCUCCCACACCAACAAAACAUAUCCCCCCCCCUCUCUCUCUAAAAACCCUUCUCCUCUCUCUUCCUCUCUCUCUAGGGCUUAGACCAAAGUGGGAUUUGGAGGACAUGGGUGGAGAAGAAGAACAAGUUGAAGGUGUAGCUUGCAAGAGUGCAAGAGUUUGAGGCAAAGCUUGGACUCCAAGGUGAGUUUCCAUGAUAUUGAGUUAGGGUUUUGGUUUGUUUCCUUCUAGCUUGCUUCUAGGAGAUGAUUAGAGGAUUUCCCCCAUGUUUCUCAUGUGUAAGGACUUAGUUGGGAAAGAUGAUAUUGUACAAGGACCUAUACUUGGGGCUUUUGGAUUUUGAGAUCGAAGCUUGGGUUUGAUCUCAUUUUAACCUAAUUGGUAGGUCAACGAACCCGUUGGUGCACUCAGUUCGGCGAUACGACGAGCGUGCACGAAGAAAUUGAGGAAACACGUUAAAUUGGUAUAGAUUGCCAUAGCUUGCGGCGAAGGCGUCUAAAAAUCACGAAAAUAGGACCACGGCAUCCUAGCAUCACCAAAAGGUGGGGGGUGCUGUCCGAAAACACCGGAUCUCUUUCUAUGUCUAUGUCACUUCCUUUGAGCAUAUUGAUGUAGGGUAGCUUACUAUGUGUUCUUGGUUGAAUUGCAUUUAUAUGCUUAAAGAAUAUGUGAAAUGAUAAAGAACCAUGUGAACCAUGUGUGAAAGAACCCUAUGUGUAUGUGAAUGUGAGAAUGGACUAUGACAAUAGUAAACAAAGGUGACAUUGACAUUAGUGACCAGAUUGGCACCGAGAAUGUAAAUGACUAAACAAAGUUUAGUUUAUUAUUGGCAUCAGGACCACUGUGGUUUUGUGUAUUGAGACAGGUUUGGCAAGACUUCCUCAAAUUGAGGAUUGGAUCGUACUCACACUAGCUAUGGCUUGAGGACGGUAGCUCCUCCUCAAGUGGUGUACUCCGGAGUGUAGACACCACGGGGAGAGGCCUCGUCAUUUGUUCCCUCGGGUGGUAGUGCUAGUAGCAUCCCCCGGUAGAUGGGAAUUGUGGUUUGUGAGAUUCGGGGUGAACCAGGAGUACCUCGGAUGAUUGGGUAAAGGCCAAUAGAAAAGAAAAUGAACGACAAAGGACAUACAUGCAUAAUUAUCAUGUAUUGGUAUAUCUAUCUAUCUGUGGAUUGUUUUUGUGCAGGCAUUGUAAUAGUUUUGCAUUAGCUGGUUUGCAAUCUAUUGUUUCUUGAAUUACAUAUGCCUGAAAUAGACCUAGUAGGCGAAUCGGCGCGGUCGGUGGCCGAACCCACUGGGAACUUCUUCUAGUUCUCAUUACCACUAACCCUGCAGAUCCGUGGGCGAGCGGGGCGGCGGAGGAUCGAGGCAAGGGUAUUGCACCGUAGCUAGCGGCCUCGGAGUAUAGGCAUACCCUAUAUUUUGAGUAUUCAAUAUUUGUAUGUUGAACUAGUAAUGUAAAAUGAUGUAAACCUUAUACUUUGGGAUAAAAAAGCCAAUGUGAUGUAAAUGAAUGGAUAAAAUGAAUGUAAAUGUAAUAGUUUACUUGUGUUUGAUUCAAAGGAAAUCAAAUGACUUGUAUGUUGAAUGUUUAGUUAGUAUCGAUGCUUUCACGUGUUUGUUGUUGUUUGCCCUCGUGCAAACCUUGUAUAUCUUGCAAUCUCUUUGUUGACUUGCUUGUAAUAUACAUGUUGUUUCAGCCUUGGGCGGACAGGGGAGGUGCUGUCCGUUCGGCGUCUGUUCGCGUGCCCGAACCGUCCAAAUUGGCGGCCCCCGGGGCGUGACAAAGAUGGCACCUUUCGAGGCACUCUAUGGACGGAAGUGUAGAUCUACUUCAUUGGAGUGAAGUUGGCGAGAGAUUGGCUUUAGGCCUCGAUGUGCUCCAGGAAGCAGAGGAUAAGGUUCGUAUUGCUCGGGAGCGACUGUUGACAGCCCAGAGUAGGCAAAAGAGUUAUGCUGAUAAGCGUCGACGAGACUUGGAAUUUCAGAUUGGAGAUCAUGUCUUCUUGAAGGUUUCGCCGACCAAGGGAAUUAGAAGAUUUGGGAUUCGGGGUAAGUUGAGCCCCCGAUUCACUGAACCGUAUUAGAUUUUGAAGCGUGUAGGCCCGGUGGCGUAUCGACUUGGUCUACCGCCAAACCUAUCGGGUGUACACAAUAUAUUUCAUGUAUCGGUCCUUCGAAAAUACAUCUAUGAUCCGGCUCAUGUUUUGGAUGCUAUACUAUUGGAGCUGAGGGAUGAUUUGAGCUCUGAAGAGCAACCUUUGAGGAUUUUGGCUCGCGAGGUGAAGAGGCUGCGGAACCAUGAGAUUCCCUAUGUGAAGGUGCUUUGAAGCAACCACGAUGCACGUGAGGCCACGUGGGAGCUGGAGAGUGCGCUGGUGGAGUGCUAUUCCUAUCUUUUUCAGAUGGAGGCUUGAGAUACUUUGCUUUUUGAGUUUCGCGGACGAAACUCCUUUUUAGGAAGGGUGAAUGUAACACACUGGACCUUUCCAAAUUGCGAGGUUUGAGUAUUUGAUCUGUGUUCUGAGUUUUUCCAGAUAUUCUAGAGGGUUGUUUACAGUGUUCCGACCUAUGGCUCGUAUCGCGAGAAUUGAGGUAUUUAAAGUAGCGCUAAGGUCACCAAAGAGGAAGACUUAGGCCGCUCUCGGGUUGCUCUCUGCAAGAUUGUGUACCGGUACACCUUGAUGGUGUACCGGUACAAAAAGUGUAUCGGUGACAACUCGAUGGUUGUACCGGUACAGAUGUGGUUUAUGGCCAACACGAGCCUCGGGUAUGCGCAUUCAUGGGAUUUGUACCGGUACACUUUCCCGUGUACCGGUACACUUUGGCAGACUGCAAAAUAGCAGCUUUGAGGGGUGUUUUUGCUAUUGUAGCAACUCUAUAUUAGCCCCUACGCCCCCCUAGGGUUCUCUUGAGCUGAGAACUCACAGAAUUCAAGGUGAGUGAGCUUUUUUCUCCCCUCCUUGGAUUUGAUCUCCAUUUUGCUUGGUUUUAGAUGGAUUAAUCCCCUCUUUUGCCUUUUAGAGCAAUUUCCACCUUGGGAAAAGCUUGGACUUUAUGUUUGGAGCUUGAUUGAAAGGAGAUCUUCAACCUUAGUUGAUUUCUAGCCUUGAUUGAAGCUUCUAAGAGGUAAGCAACUUGUUCUCUCCUCUAGAUUUCAAGAUUUGGUCGUGUAUUUGAGAUGAAGCCCUAGAAUGGAAACUUAGGGUUGAUUUUGGGCAUUUUGGAUUUAGGGCCUUUGGAGCUUGAUCUCUUGGAUUAGAACCUUCCUCUAGGUUAGAUUGGAAGGGUUCUAGCUUCCGUUUGGGAUCCGAGAGAGUUUAUCACCAUCUUAGGUGAAUUUUUGCCCCUUUUCUUGAGACAGUUAAUGAUUGAGCUUAGGAUUGUUCGUAACGUUCAAUUAUUUCUUCUCUUGUUACCUUUAGGGUGCUAGGAGAAUAGUGGGCAACUCCGUUCGGCGAAACGAAGGAGUUUUAGCGGAGCUCGGUGGGUUUGACCUCACCAAAGAAUGAGAAAAUCUCAUUUUUGUUGAUUUAAGUAUCGUAAAAUGGAAAAUCAUGCAUUUUCAUGUUAGAUGCAUUAUUUAUGAAUUUUAGAAUGCUUAAAAUGCUUAUGUUGUAUACAAUGCAUUUUUGGACCUCUAUAUAGUAGAGAGCUUGCAUGUGAGACUUAUGCAUGAGUUUAGCAUUCGCAUUCGGGACUUAGAAUCAUGUUUCGUAUAGUGAAAAUGACAAUGUUAUAUGCCCUUGGACAUAUGAGAAUACAUUAGGCCAUGAAGUGGCUUGGGACUUGGAUAUCAUGUGAAUUAGUGAGCUAAUGUCAUAAAGUGACAUUGAGCUUGAUUUAUAUAUGAACCUAGUAAAUAAUGUCAUAAAGAGGCAUUAGACUAGAGUAAUAUGUAAAUUAGGGAGCUAAUGUCAUAAAGAGACAUUAGGCUCAGAAUUGGUAUAGUAAGCUAAUAUCACAAAGUGGCAUUGGGCUUGGACUAGAUAUGAACUUAGCAAGCUCAUGUCAUAAAGGGGCAUUAGGCUUGGAAUAUGCGCUGACUUAGUAAACCGAAUGUCAUGAAGUGGCAUUAGUGUUGGAACAAGAUUUGGGCGUAGUGAGAUAUAAUGCCAUAAAUAGGCAUUGGACAUAAUAAAUGGUUAAACCUUCACUUGGGAUAUUGGACUAGACCUAUGGGUUGCUAGCGAUCAUUUCCAUGGUUGAGCCAUGAUGACCGGAUCGUUGUGACGAUGACUAUGCUUGCUUGCCAUUUGUGCUCAUUCGCACAUACUUGUGAGGGUCGCUUCCUACAAGCCGGCACUCUGGAGUUGGCCUACGCGACCUAUCCUCGCUCGUGCGGUAUCGAGAAACCUACAAGGUCGGGAGGGAUAGACUCAUUCCUAGAGUGGGAAUAUUGGAGCUACCAUCGACACUUAGGUGGCACAAGCUGGACCACACUUGUGCAGGUCCCCAAAACAAGAUUGAACAAUGACAUCGAUUCAUAAAUGAUAAUCACUACUAAAUAGGAUGUAGUAGUUGGAUUACCUUGUCAUGCAAUAGCAUAACUGUGAACAUUUGAGACAUAUAGUAUACUUGGUAAUAUCGCUCAUUGCGUUAUAGUAUACUUGCUUGCCAUGUGGGAUCAUACUAUAUAUGGGUUGGACAUGCUUGAUCACGAUAGAAUGAAUGUACAAUAUAUUGUCAUCAUAUUACUUAUGGCAUAGUAGUUUAGCAUUCAAUACAUGCUUUCAUAUCUGCAGUUUAUUUUCAGUUGUUUAUCAUAUCUACCUUACUCGUUUGGGCCUAGUGGAGCAUUAUGCUAAGGUCAGUAAUUGCCCACUGGAAACUAUAAAUUAUAGUUCUCACGCUCCCUGUUUCUUGUUUUCUUUCAGAGCCUUCCAUACCGGGUGAGGCUAGGGACCGCGGAAAGGGUAUCGCCUCGAGCUAGCUUGCGGGCGAGGGACUUAUCGAUAGGUGGUCUACCUCUCAUCGGUUUUAUUUUGGAGAGGUUGAGAGUUGUACCUGUGCAUAAAGACCACCCUUUUUGUAUCUUGAGACAGAUGAUGUUUUUACUUUAUAUUUUAUAUUAGUUGAUAGUUUCCUUUCUCUCUGCUUGUUGUUAGAAUUUAGCUGUUGUUUGCUCUGAUAUCUCUAGUUGUCUUCCUUCUACUUGCUUUCGUAUCUCUAUUGUGGUAGACGCCUUAUAUGUGCAGACAUAUGGCGGGUCUGGGCACGCACCGGGCGGGCCUAUACCGGGUCCAGGGGCGUGAUAUUGAUCAACUUCUACUUGACCCAAGGUAUUUUACACUUUUUGCAUGUGUAAUUUUCGAAGAUUUUCGAAGUAGUUAUUUGGAAGCUUUUAACCCUUUAGAAUUCUUCUUAGAGUGCUAGAAACUCAGUGGACAACUUCGUUCGAAGGAACGAAAGUGUUUGAAUGUGAUCCGAUAGGUUUGAUCUCACCGAAAUGGGUGAACUCCCCCCUAUAUCUCCUAUGAUGUUAUAAGGCUUAAUUGUUGCAUAAUCAUGAUGUUUAUGCCAUGAUAGAAUUUUAGGGUGCUUGAGAAAUACAUGUUAUGUAUAACCUGUUGUAUGCUCUAUGUAGUAGAGAACAAUAGAUGAAAUCAUGCAUGUUGUACCUAUGAAGUUAUAGCACGAUGACAUGUUCUUUUUAUUGCAUUGUAGAAAUGCAUAAUAGAGAUGAAUUCUAGGUCAUUUGAGACUCUAGAGGGAUAAUGGAACUAGUGGACUUUGCAACUAGUUUACUUGCUAGAUAAUGAUGAGCAUGAUGUAUUACAUGUUAACCAUUUGAUGUAGAGCCAUGAAUGUUGUACUUAGUUUGAUGAACAACUAAGUUAACCGGGUAACUUUAUAUUGACCCUUGAGUUGAUAAAUGUGAUUCCGUGUUUUGCACACGAUGAUUGAUGUAGUUCGAAUACUUGACAUCCAUAUGACAUGUAGAGGGUUGAUACACUCUCGGUAGUAAAGCACAUAGUAGUACAUGUUGCAUGAGUAAAGAAGCCAUUCAUUUGCAUAAUAAUGUUGUACCCUAUAUAGAGGAGGCUCAAAUAGUGAGGUAUACAUAUACGCUUGUAAACACUAUGGUUUACCCAUCCUAUGAGUUGAUAGAUGAAACCUUAUGCUAUAGGCAUGUAGGAGAUUCAUGUGUUGAAAUAUGCAAUUGUCACGCCCCGGGGCCCAGCGGAAGCCCGCCCGGCGCGUGCCCAGACCCGCCAUAUGUCUACAACAUAUAAGGCGUCUAAAAACAACAAUAAUAAAAGCAAUAAUAAAAGACAUCUAGGAGUAUCAGAGCAUAGUAAAUGUCUAAUUGCUACAACAAGGGAUAAGGAUAAAACUGUAAAUCCACUAAAUGAAACAUAGAGUAAGAACAAUAGGAAAUCCCAAAUACAAGAGUUAAAAGUAGGUACAUAGGUGGUCUCUAUACAUGGAUACAAAAUCUCUCACUCUCUCUCAACUACAAAAAGAAAGAGUAAACCACCUAGGCAAAGUACCGCUCCUCGCUAGCUAGCUAAGCGAUCCCCUUGCCGCGAUCCCGUGCCUCCGCCGGUGCCGAAGGCUCUGAAAAGUAAACCACAAAACGGGGGCAUGAGAACUAUUAAAAAUAGUUCCCAGUGGGCAAUUACUGACUUCAGUGAAUGCACCACAAGGCCCAAAGCUACAGAAGAUGUNNNNNNNNNNNNNNNNNNNNNNNNNUGAAUAUGUACAAACAUUCAUUAAACGGAAUUUCGGUUAUGCAAAUUGCGUCUGGCUGUACGUCCUUCCGCCGGAGCACGCCGAGACUGCCGUCGAGAUUUGGCAUUUCAUUCUCCUGGCUGCUAACUCGCUGGUAUCUGCACAACAAAGUCCACAAAUACGUUAUCACGCAAAAUCAAAUGAAAUCAAAAUUCGACUCGGACCAGUUAGUAGGAUCUAUCGACGGAUCAGUUAACUAACUUUAUCGAAUCCAGAAGUGUGAGGCCGCCGUCCGUCGUGGAAUGCCGACGGAGAGCCUCCCAUCCUUCUCUCCUUCUUCAGGUAUUUAUCAUGCCAGCUAGACCGAGAGUCUGUCGGCGGACGGGAUCUAUUAUUCAUGCCCCAAGAUGAGCUAUUCAGCUUGAGCUGUUCGAGCCGAAACAGAAGUUUGCGUCCCCGCGAAUGCCAGCUGUGAGAUGUCUGCACGCUGAAGAUUCAUUAGGCAGGUGAGGUCAGGAGUAUGAGGGUCGAUGAUCUGCUUUCUUCACUCCAUUUAAUUGAGAAAUUCUCUUUUCAGAAUGAUUUGUACUAAGAAACUAAUAAUAAUAAAAAAGGCAUAAGAGGACUAAGAUAACAAAUGGGACUAAGAAAUUUUUAGGUAGUAGAUGAAUUGUUAAAGUAGAGAGUAUUAUAAUCUGAAGCAAAUGCGGGGCGGAGAUGAACAAUGAACAUGCACUUUUUUUUUUAAUGUUUCCUAGUAAUAUAAUGAGAUUAAUGUAAAACAAAAAACUUUACCAAAUUAUUGGCUGAAAAAAAAAAAUGCAGAUAAAUGAUCAAGAACCCUUAUAUGUAGCUUCUGAAACAUCACAGACCACAAAUUUUUGCAAUAAUAAAAAACAGAAAAAAAAAACAACUAAUAAGUUAAAGGAAACAAUAGUAGCUGCUAAAGAUCCAACAUUUGAACUACCUAAUUACUCUCUCUCUCUCUUCUCUCUCUCUCUCUCAAACAGUUUUCUUUUUGUUGCUCUCUCAUUUGUAAACCCAAGAGGCUCCGAAAUAUAAGGAGUUUGUAUGGAUAUCCCUACAAAUUAUAAAAAUUACAUUAUUCUAAUAGAGAAACGCUUUUUCAUUUUUUGAUAGAACUGUAGAAAUAAUCUUAAUGGUACUAUUACGAUGUACGUAGCAUAGUAUGAGGUAUGAAAAAAACGAGAGUAUUUUUUUUUACAUCAGAGCAGAUGUCUCUCACACAUAGCGUUAAUUAUCUUUCUGCAAUCCAAUACGAUAGUUCGUUUAAGAAACCUUAGCCAAAGAAGGAAUACAAUUGCCAAUGUAGAUGGUAUGGUAAGAGUGAUGGUUCAUAACUUUUUUUGUUGAUGAGUAUGUAUUUAUUUAGAAUCUAUUGUCAUUUAAUUUAUGAACUGAGUUGCUAGCGUAAUGAUUAGCAAAAUAUUCUCAAGUUAAUUUGGAAGCUUAGCAUAGAUAAUGUGUAAGCUAAUUAUAAAUAAAGUGAAAGAAAAAUUCAAUGUGUUGUGUAAAAAAAAAAAUCAUUUGAAAAAGAGAAUUGCUAAAGAUCGGAUAGAGGUUUCUAGUUGAGUUGUAAAAUGAGAGUAACAACAAAAAAAAUAUAAAUAAGCGCACAAAUACAGAAGAAUACCCUUCAUUAAAUAUCAAUUUGCCAUGCCACAAUAAAUUCAAAAUUUUUUAGGGGUUACGGUCGUUAAUGAUAGAAUGGGUGAAAUGAUUAAAUUUGUCUUGACUUGCUCGUAUUAAAAAAUUUGUAACUAUAUUUAUGUAAUUUUCAAGGUAUCUGUUGUAUAAAUUUUACGAAAUAGAUGAAAAUAAUUAAAACCCGUAACAAAGGCAACGCGGCUAAAUGCGUGAUAGGGGUGCAAACGAGGCUGUAACACAGCCGAAUGUGCGGCCAUUGCUCUAUUAUAUUGAGCGCCGAAUUCAGCCGCUUUCGAAUAAUUUCGAGCCAGAUAAGCGGUUCGAAGUAUGUCGGUCGAAUCGAAUUGAGCUGAAAUUAUCGAUGCUGGCUAAAAUAAAUUUAUUUUUAUUUUUGUUUUUCGAAGCUAAUAUUCAUAGCAGUAUUUGUUCAAAUUCUGGCCUUAUGAUAUUGUUUAUUCCGAUCCGGCCCUCAUGUUAGCUUGAAUUCUUUGUUUAUUUAUGUUAUUUGUUUUUCAAUUCUAAAAUGUUAUGAAAUAUUUGUUAAUAUUAACUACUAUAAAUUUAACUACAAUUAGCCAUAUAAGUACAAUCGAAAUAUGAAAUAUCAAUCUCUAAAUUACAAGAAUCAUAAAUACAAAUAAUACAUACAAUCAACAUAUCUAUAUAAUCAACAUUAGGUGCUCAAAUUACAAUCAAUAGAUUUUUGUCUGAUAAUCAUUAUUCUUUAGAAUAAAAAUUUAUAUUUUAUUUUUAAUAAUAUAUAAUAUUAAUUAGAUAUCCUAUCUACUAAUACUAUAGUAUAGAGGUUGAGCCCGAUGAUAGAUUUUACAAGUAUCACAUCAUAGUGCUAUUAGUUUUUAAGCCAUGUGAAUCUACUUUUUGAAUUAUUAAUAAAGCAUCUUGCUAUUAUAACAGCUAUUACCACCUCACACCACAACCCUAGCCAACACAUUCUCAAAUCAAUUCUCUCCAUUCCAAGGAUGCCUAAAAGACACACAAGUAUCUCCCCGCAUGAUACUUUUACAAUUAUUUUCUAGCCCUUACUCUCUCUCUCUCUCUCUCUCUCUCUCUCUAUUAUAUAUAUAUAUAUAUAUAGAAACGGGAGGUGGGAUACUAUUAAUAGCCCACCAAAGCAAUUUCUGCUAUUAGUUUUUUAGAAUUGAGCAUUAAAAAAUCUCUUGGCGGAUUAGCGAUGAUUAUGGACCCCGAGGCUUGGGUGGAAUAUUGGUGGUCGCAGGUAGUGAUUAAAUAGAUAUAAUCUAACGGGUAAAAAUAAUUAAAGGAUUAAAUCUAACGGGUGGAAACUCGCAUAGCACAAAAUCCUUAAGUGUUAUCGAUAGACUAUCCAGCGGGUUAUAUAUAAUAUAUUAUAGGCAGAGAGAGACGAGAGGGAGAGGAGAGAGAGAGAGAGGGAGAGAGAGAGAGAGUUUGCUUAGAUACUAUCCGGCUAGUAAACGGCCGUUUAGUACUAAUUUGUUAUUACGAUGAUAGAGCUUCCAAAUUGUAUGAUCGGCCACACGUUAAAUAUGAUCUAAACUAUUUAAACUAUUCUGAAAAUCAAAUUUUCACAAUAUUUUCGAUAUGUUUCUCUUGUCCAUUAACGUGAAUCAGAAAAAUGAAUGGCUUGAAAUGAAUAUCCACUCAAAAAAGUGAUGAUACAAUUUUCUAAUAUUGAUAUCUGAGUCUAGAUCUUAUUUAAAUAGUGUUUAAAGAUUUUUUAACAAAAAUUUAGUUGAUUUGAAACUUCUCUGAUACAUUUAAAUGAGCAACGCACCAUUAUUCUGCCAUUAAAAUUAUAUUUUUUGUACCCUCUUGACUCGUCAGUUAAUGAUGCCAAAAAAAUUAUGUAAAUUUGAUUUCUAGAUAAUUUAAAUGGUCUAGAUCAUGCUCAACGGUGCGGAUCGUGAUUUGAAGAGCUUAUCAUCAAAAUAAAUCGUUAGCUAAAGCUAGAGCAGUUUAGCUACCGAUGUUAGCCCAGUCAACUCUAUAGUAUAUAAUAUAUAUAUAUAUAUAGUUUAAAUGCUUUACAGUAUACAACUAAAACAAUACAAGUAAAGAUAAUUACAAGAAUAAUUACAGCAUAUCUAAAAAUUAUCAUUUAUCUGACAUAAAAAUAAAGUUACAAGCAAGGUUCUAUUAAAUAUACCUAUAAGUUUAGGGGGCAUCUUCAUUCUCCUACAUUUCCACCAAAUAAUUAAUUAGCACAUUAAAAGUAUUAAAAAGGGAAAUAUAAACUUACAUUACUUAAACCCCACAAUAAUCACAUGGAUGUGCUCAUUAAUUUAUAGCGAACUUACACCAGUUACUACAUAAUAAAAGAGAAAAGUAGAUUUUAUAUAUAUCAGUGGCAUAAUGGCUAUAUUUCCUAAUAUAUUUCCUAAUAUUGUGCCCCACUCAAAGUGAUUUUGAAUAGCCUCACACAUGCAUAAGGAAUAAUUGGCGAACAUUGUCAAACCUACCCUUAUAUUACAAAUAUUAUAUGCAUCCCUAAAAAAUUACCAAAUAUCAUUUACUACUAUUAAAUUGAUGAAAUUAUGUGGGACUCAUGCAGUUAUUCUAUAGCUUUUUGUAACUAUAGGAUAAAUAUAUUUCUCAUCCAAAAGUAGCACUAUAUAUUUAACCUUUUUCACUUUUCAGCUAGAAAUUAGAUUUAAUUUAACAGAAAAUAUAUAAUUUUUUCUUUGUAAAUAUUGUUUUUCACUUGCUUCCCAACGUUCAAAAAUCUAUAUUUUAUCCUUCAAAUUAAUUCCCGAUUUAGUUACAAGGUCUAGCUACUCGCAAGUUGCUCCGUGUUCGAUUGAAUAAAACUUCGAAAAUGAGUAUCGUUCAGAAUUAAUUUCAAAUAAAAGAGCUGGAUUUUUUUCUCCGAAAAAAUUUUAAACAAGUCACGGAGCAGGCCUCUGCUCAUCCUGUUCCACUCGAAAUAGUUAUCUUAUAUAUAUUAUAUAAUAUAUAUAUAUAUAUAGAACUGGCUGGAAUACUAUUAAUAACACCAAUGACUUGGGUGCUAUUAAGUUUUCUGUCCUUGGAUUAAAAAAGAGGUGCGCGUUUAAGAUGAUAUGGGCUCUUAGGAGAUGAGUGGACCGUGUUGGUGAAUAGUAUAUCGAAUGGAUUGAAAUGAUAAAAAGAAGUGUGAAUCUAACAAGUUUUCUGCCUUAGGAUGAAUAUGACUAUUUAUAUUAUAUAUAUAUAUAAUAAUAUAUAUAUAUAUUAUAUUAUUAUAUAUAUUAUAUAUAUAUAUUCGUGCUGGAUACUACGGAUAGCCACGAAGCAUUUGGUGCCACUAUAAUUUUCUGCCGUUAGAUUUACCUUUUUCGUCAAUUUUCAUCAUUUGAUUUACUAUUCCAACCAACAACCCACUCAACCCUAGGUGGGCUCACAGCAUCCUAACGCCACAUUUCUCAUCCAAGGAAAAAAUACGGUGGAAUACUAUUGAUAGCCAAGGGUCUGGUGCUAUUUAGUUUUAGUCCUUGGGAUUAAGAAAUCGCUGCGAGUCUAGGAGAAUGUGGCCUAGCGAUUGAGUGGUGGUUGGUGAAUAGUAUAAUCAACGGUCAUGAAUAUGAUAAAAAGGUAAAUCAACUGGCCAGAAACUAUAUAGCACCAAAUGUUUCGCUGCUAUCGAUAGUAUCUGCUGCGAGACUCUCUCUCUCUCUCUCUCCUCCUCUCUCGCUCUCUCUCGUCUCUCUGUCUAUAUAUAUAUAUGUAUAUAUUAUCUUAUUAUAUAGAGAGAGAGGAGAGAGAGAGAGAGAGCGAAGAUGAGAGAGAGAGAGAACUAGGACCUGGCAAUACUAUCAUAGCACUAGUAUGUGCUCAUUAGUUUUUAGCCCUUGGAUAUGAGAAUGUUCAGUUAGGAUGUUGGUCUUAGGUUGAUGGUGGUUCGUGAAUAGUAUAAUCUAACGGGUAAAAAUAUUAAAGAUUAAAUUCUAACGAAAUCAGAUAGCACCAAGAUAGUUACGGGAUCUCUCUCUCUUCUCUCUCUCUCUACUCUUAUUAAUUAUUAUAUAUAUUAUAACAGGGCUACUGUGUAUUGGAGAUAACAGUCGUUUGCUCCUAACUUCCAACCACCAUCAUUUUGUGGUAUUAGGAUAAAGAGCAGAGAGGAGAAAUUCCGGAGAAAAUUAAACAGAGAACGAGAAAUUGAUAACCUAAUUUCUCCUCAAAUUUCUUUUUCUCUAAUCAUACCUUUCAUCCAAAACUAAUUGAAUGGUUAGGAAAUUUAAGAGACAGAGUUAGCCCUCCUCUCUCUCUCUUCUCUUUCUCCUCUCUCUCUCUCUCCUCUUCUAUAAUAUAUAUAUAUAUAUCCUAUCAUUUAUUUCCGGGAUCAGGGUUCGGAGUCUGAAUAUUAACCUAAUUGCAUCCUCAAUUUCUCUUUCUCUCUCUCAUCCUAACUUUCAUCAAACUAAAUGGAAAUGGUUAGGAAAUAAGAGCAUAAGAGCUAUAGCCUGCUCUUCUCUCUCUUCUCUCUCUCUCUCUCUCUCUCUCUAUAUAAUAUAUAAUAUUAACUAUAUAUAUAUAAUAUCCUACUCAUUUAUUCGGAUUCUGCGGUUCGGAUCUGUAAUAAUUUAAGUUGACUAACUAUACAAAUCGGGAUCUAUUCGAAAGGGUCUCGUAGUGAUAAUCCAUAUGCUAUCCACGAAAUCCUGAAUAGAUGGGUACGAGUCGGACUAAUGGAUACGAGUACCUGUAUUAACAUAUUUUUUAUAGACUAUUAAACACUCUAUUUGGACAAAUCAUAAAUCUCUCAAUUAGAAAAAACUUUCAUUCUAAUGAGACUGCACUCUAUCAGACGGAUCAGAGAGGCAAAAUGAGAGUAGUUAAAGAUUUGAUUUUUUUUUUUCUCUUUUUUUUUUUUUAUAACUCUUACUCUCUUAAUUCAGCAAGUAAAACAGGGACCGGCUUAGAGAAUAAGAUGUCAAUAGUAAACUAGAGCGGCUUAGGAUUAAUAAAAAUAAGGAGUAAAAAAAAGUUUUAAAAAAAAAGCAGUAACAUAGCGACUAGGUUUGACUGGACAAAUACAUAGAGACCCAUCAUCUAUAAGUCAUAUUGAAAUUGAUUCCAAGCUUAAAAUCUUUUUAUUGCGGUCAUCUCUACAAUUCAGAUCAAGCAUCCAGUCUGAAUCCGUAUUGAAAAUUAUUUCUUAAGACCCUAUCAUUAAAAAUGUCGGCGGUUCGGGUCGGACCCAAUGUCAGUAAUAGUACCAAAAGUAUCCGAAUCUACAUCACAAAACUGUAAUGCUUUUGCUUUUUAUCGAAUUACUAUCUAUUUUUUGUUUGAUCGGAUAGAAAAAAGUCCGGACUUAAAUAUAGUAUAUCGGCAUUUGGCACGUUAGGAGAAUAACUUAUACAUUUUACCAAACUUGCACUAAUUUGACACUCACCCUUAAUAUGUGGUUUAUUAGGGCUCUGAAUGCUUGAACAUGUUCUAUCAAAAAAAAAAUGCAAAAGGAUGUAAUUAAAAAUGAAAUCACACAGUACUAACUUGAUACCACUUUAAACUAUAAGGUACUAUAAAGAUGAAAAGUGCAACCACAAGUACGUAAACUAACACUUUAAACCACAUGUAUUAAAGUGGAAAAAAAUUGCGAAACAGAUUUUUUGAAGUUUUCCCUAAAUUUCAAUCUACAACACGGUUGUGAUUCAUAUUAUUAAAAUAUAUUCAAAUAUAAAAAGAGAUGAUAUGGAACAAUCUAAGGAAAAUAACAUUUUUUUUCAAUCUAUUUAUAUAAAUAAAUUGAUAAAUCGAAACUUAAAUUUAUAUUUUUGAUAUCAAAUUUGACCUAUACAUUAAAAAAUUUUAAAAUACAUGCAUCAAAAAUUAAAUAUUAAAAAUUUGAAAUAAAUAUCAAAUUAAAUUUUAAAUUCAUCAAAAAUUAAUUAAAAUAUUUAAAAAUAUUAAUUAUAAAAAAAAAUAAUAUAAAAUUUGUCAAAUAUUUCUAAUACAAAUAUAACAUAUAACUUUAUAAAGGUAUAAUUUUUUAUUAUAAUUUUAAAUAAUAUACUGUACAAAAUUUAUAUGAUUUAAACUAAAAUUAAAAUAACUUGUUACAUGCAUUUGUAUAUUAAUCAAUUAGUGUGGCUGUAAACCUAGUCUAAAUACUAUCAAAUAGUACAAAGCUAUCGGAGCAAUUAUGGUAUUCGGCCUUGAAGAUAAAAAUCUACGUGUGAGGCUGAUGUCGGCUCACCUAGGGUCGGAUGUAGUUAUUAGUUUAAUAAUAUAAUCUAACGAUGAAAGAUAGUUAAAAAGCUUAAAUUCUACAAGCGAAAACUUGAUAGCACCAAAUAAUUGGCUAUAUCUGCUAUUGAUAGUAUUCCAGCCUAGCUCUAUAUAUAUAUAUAUAUAUAUAUAUAUAUAUAUAUAUAUAUAUAUAUAUAUAUAUAUAACGUGAUUGAAUUGUUUAAUCCGAUCUGCUUAUUUUGGUAUUUUGUGUUUAUAAUUGAUCAGAAUAUAUAGAAUUAGGCUACUAUACUAUCUAUAGUACCGGAGCUCCGGUACUAUAGUCUUGUUUUCGAUCUUAGCGUGUUCAAAUUAACGAUCCACACCGUUAAAUAUGAUCUAGGGUAUAUGAAGUUCUUAGGAAUAAAAUUUUAGUUUUUUUCGACAUCGUUUACUUAGUAAAUAAAUUAUGUCAAAAUGGACGGUGGAAAUUGAAUAUUCUUUAAAAUUUGAGCAUAGAACUUUUAAAUUCAAGAUCAAGAAUGUUAACCUUAAUCUAGAUAGUUUAAAGUAUUUUCUACCAAAAUUUGAAGAAAUUUAGAUUCUUCUACGCUAUUAAACUCCAAACUCGCCAUAGUUUUCAUUGAAAAUUGCCAAUUUUGAAAUGAUUUGAUCAUAAAGUAAACUAUGUCGAAAAAAUAUAAAAUUUUAUUUCUAAAAACUUUAAGUACCCUAGAUCAGUUUUAACGGUGUGGAUCAUUGAUUCGAACACCCGAACAUCGAAAAUGGGACUAUAGUACCGGAGCCCUGGUACUAUAGAUAGUAUAGGAGACUAGCUCUAUAUAUAUAUAUAUAUGUUUGGCGUUAUAUUUGAAUUUGUAUUUUAAAACUUUAGAUUUAAUAUAAUAUAUUUUGAAAUAUCGUAAAUAGAAAUAAUUGUUUCAGAAUUCGAAUUUUGGAUUUUUGGUCAGAUUCGGGUUAUGGAUUUUUGGCCAGGUUCGGAUUUGGAUAUGCAAUUUUAAAAUCUAUUAGGAUUGGAUGGAUUCAGGUUCUUGUUUCGGAUUUAAUAGUCGAGUUGCUAUUCGGAGUGUUAAAAAUUCGUACUAUUCGAUCCGUGGACAUCUCUAAUCCAUACUAUCCUAUCAUAUGUGCUUCUAAAUAUAGGGCGUAUUUGGUUUGCUUCUUUUUCACCCUGGAAUCGAAAUCGGAAUGGGUGAAUCCGUUUGUGGGUGUUCGGUACAUGAGAGUCCCAUUCCGAUUCCGAUUCCCGAGUGGAAUGGGAAUCUUCCAAUCACCUCAUUUUUCAAUCCGGCCUAGGAGGCCAGAUUGGAAGUUGAAUCUGGCCGGAAUGGAUAUUUAUUCGGAUUAAAUUUAUUUUUUCAACUUUUUUAAUUAAAAUAUGAGUUAAAAUUUAAAAAUUAAAUAUAUAAUUUUAAAUUUUAAUUUGAACUUAAAUUAAAAAUUAAAUUUUAAUCAAGUAUUUCGAAUCUAAUUUAUGAGUUUGAAUUUAAAUUAAAUUUUAAUUUAUAUAAAGUUGUAUUCAAAAUUUAUUUCAAACUUAAAUUAAAUUUAUGGAUUCAAAUUAAAAUUUAAAUUGUAAUUUUAAGUUUGAAUUUGAAUAAAUUAAAAUUUAGUUUCAUAUUUUGAAUUAUCNCAACCAUCAACCCUUGUACCGGUACAAGGCCAGUCUUGUUCCGGUACAAACCCUGCUGCAGGCUACCCGAGAGCUGUCCAAAAAUUCCGAUUUUGGAAUUUUGGUGCCAAGUCCCACUCCAACAUCCUCGGGAUGCGUGCCAGGGGUCGGGACACAAUCAACGACCCUCCAAAAACUGUGGGAAAGCUCCAAACACAGAUCAAACACUCGAAUCUUGCGAUUUGCUAAGAUCCAGUGUAUUACAGCAAUUGACAUGUAAAUGACAAAGUACACACUUGAGUAGUUUAAUGAAAAUCAACUUUUGCAUUUUAGUGGAAAUAUUACACAUUGGCAUACGGGUGAAGCCCGUUAGGUUCUUGAAUGAGUCAUCGAACCUUUCCCAAUAGAACAAAUAAAACAUGGACAUUAGUGUGUUGAGUCAUGUGACACAUUGGUAGAGACAUACCAUUAAUUUAAAUUAUUUUUGGAACUUGACAUACAUGACAUUAGAAGAUUACCCUUUUUGCAUAGGGCAUUAUGGUGGUAGUAACACACAUUGGUAGGUUCAUGAAUGAGACAUAGAACCACCCUUAAUAGAGUGAAUGAAUGAAAUGUGGACCUUCAUGUGCUUUGGACAUGUGCUAUAACAUAAAAAAACAAUAAUGUCAUAAAGAGGCAUUAGACUUAGUGAAUGGUUAAACUUGUACACUUUGACAUAGAACUAGACCUUUGGGGUUGCUAGUACUUAUACCAUGUUGAGACAUGACAACCGUGUACUUAAGAUGACGAUCAUGCUUGUUUGCCAUUUGUGCUCAUUCGCACAUGCUUGUGAGGGUCGCUCUCCACAAGCCGGCACUCCGGAGUUGGCCUAUGCGACAGAUGCUCGCCGUGCGGUAUUCGAUGCCUACUGGAUCGACGUGGGACAGGCUCAUUCCUUGCGGGGGGAAUGUUGGACUACCACAGGCCAUUAGGCACGGCGCAAGCCGGACUACAUUUGUGCAGGUCCUGAUGACUUGAACUAUGUUAACCAAGAGUUAAUUAAACCUGACAUUAUGUUAGACAUGCUAGUGGAUGCACACCUAGUAAAUGGUCAUACUAGUGGUUGGUUACCUUAUGUUGAGAUUCGAUGCAUUCAUAGUAGAGAGAUAUACGUCGAACAGACGCCGACCGGACAGAACCUCUCCUGUCGGCCCAAGGCUAAACAACACAGUCAUGUACAUCAAGUUGCCCAGGUAAACUAAAACAAUAUACACGAAGCACGACAAGCGCUAUACAAGCGAGAGCAAGAAUCACAAGUAGAUAUACAAGUGAACCAAAGAGAAACAUCUAGCUAUUACAAUUCCAUUCAACAUAUACAUCAAGUUUACAAUUUUACAUCUCCAAAAUUUAUACAUGUCAUCCAUAACUCUCCAAAAUACAUAUACAAUAUGAUCUCAUAUCUAUACAGGGUGUACUAAUGCAUAAAGGAAAGUUGUCUAGCUACUAGGGCGCUAUGCCCUUACUGCGGUCCUCGCCCGGUCCUCUCGUACUCGGCCCUGCAACAAAGUGGGGUGAGAACUAUAUUAAUAUAGUUCCCAAUGGGUUCGGCCGCCGACUCUGCCGAUCUUCCCACUAGGUCUAAGCAGGCAUAAGUAGACAGAUAGAUAGAUAUGAAAAUGAGCUGCUACAUAAUAACAAAACCUACAAUAUGCUACUAUGCCUCGACAAGCAGAAUGAAUACAUGAACAUAGAUAUGCGCUCUACUAACAUGAAAACUAUGUCUCAAUCUGCAUACUCUACAAGAUAUAAAGGAAAUAUCUACAUAGUAAUGAAACAUACUGUCAAAUACUAUGUCUCAUGUCCAAUCUCAUCUCGGCUAACCAAAAGGUUACGCCCAAACUCACAUCUCAAAUCUCGCUGGUGAGUAGACUCUACGCUACAAACACCCGAGACCGCCUGCUGGGUAAUCGUGUUACCCAAACGCGACAUCUACUCCGGAGCUCACUACUUGGGGUGGAGCGACCACGCCAAUGUUACAUAGACUAUGUGAGUACGAUCCAAUCCUCUCACUCGAGGAUAGUUAGUGCCUCUUGCACUAGUUCACAUGCUACUACUCAGGAGAUCAGUAUCUAUCCUAAGUUCAUGUAUCAAGCUGUAAGUGUUUCACUACACUAGUCCAAAUGUCAAUUUUUUUGGUUUACAUGCCACUACUUAGGAGAUCAUUCUCUAUCCUAAGUUCAUGUCAUAGUGUCUCUACUACGCUAGUCCAAAUGCCACUCUGUGAGUUCAUUUACAUGUCCAAGUUCAUCUUUUGUUCCGCGACACUAUAGGAUUCCAUGUCAAGACCCAAUCCUCAUGUGUCCACUAAAUCAAGUGCUCAACUCACCAAAUGAUUUCAACGAUGGAAACAUGCAAGGAAUUGAAGUACAAACAACCUAUAAUGCAUACUAACAAGAUAUGAACAUAUGCUAAAAUAAUGAAAUACUCGGUCAUAGAAAGAAGCCCGACUGCUUCGAGAUGGACAGCUCCCACCUUCGGGAUGGAAACUCCUAUGUUUAAAAGAUGUGGAAAGAGUUACAUCCAAAAGGAGUGUGAAAACUACCACCACAUGUAGGAAAGAGCUACCACCCCAGUCGUCCGGCAAGUGUGUGAAGCUACCACAUGAAGAUUGAAUUAAAUAACCGGAACGGUUGAAAAAAAAAUUGAAUAUUUUAGAAUUUUCGGAGUUAUAAGGUGUUAGUUUGAAAAAGAAGCUCACAGAGCCACCACCGGUAUCAUAAUAGUUAAAUCUCUAUUUUGAACGGAUUGCGACAAAUUGGUGUAAAUUUUGCCGAAUUUCUAAAAAUCAUUUUUCAUGAACCGUUACAUCUUGAUGAUUUUGAAACACGAGGUCAUUUUUUAUAACGAAAUUUUUGAUGUUUCGAUGUAUUUUUGAAAUCUUAUAAUAUUUUACCUCCAUUAUAAUGAUUUUUGGAGUAAAGUCCUUAAUUCGUAUGAAAUUAAUUUAAGUUUAAAAGGUUUUUAAAAUUAAAAAUUUUUGAAAUCUGGCAAAGUGUUUUGGUAGCCACAGUUUUAAAACCGGUUACAGGUUUUCGAUCUUUCUCCAAACUUUAUCAAAACUUCUCCUUUCUCUUUCUUAAAACCUGUUACAGGGCACGUUUGUUCACGACGAUAAAUAUGGAAAAUGAAAAAGAAAAGAAAAUAAAAGGGUUACAGUUCUUCAAUGUGCUCCUUUCUGGUUCUUUUGAAAGUCUAUGUGAAUUUAUCCUAUUCAUGCACUAACAUUAUUGGUACUCUCUCUAUUUUUGGUACUUGUUUUUGGCAAUUUUUGACAAAAAGGGGGAGAGAGAGAAGAGAUUUUAAAUUUUUUCUUGUGAAUUUUUAUUGAUCAUAUUAGAUGCAUGAACAGAGGGGGAGAGAUUUUUAUUAACAAAGGAUGCAUGAAUAGAGGGGGAGAGAUUUUCAUUAACAAAAGGGAAGAGAUGUUCAUUUUUUUUACUAACUUUGUUCGAGGAGAAAAUAUUCUUUGUAUUCUUUCUGCAGAUUCUCGAUGACUUCAAGACUCGUGUUUAAGUCAUAGAGUUUGUUUAGGAGUUACAAAUUGUAAUUUUGUUUUUUUUUUUUUUUUUUGGAUCUUUCCCGCGAGAAGUUCAUUGUUUUGGUGAUGGCAAUGAAUUUCAAUUUUUUAUUGUUUGGAGAGUUGAGCAUUGUGAGUGUUUUGAUGUAUUUUUGAGUUUUGUCACAAAAUUGCCAAAGGGGUAGAUUGUUACGGAUUUUAUGUUGGCAUAUUUCGUAAAGUUAAUCGGAGUCUUGAAUGUUUGAAGAAGAAGAGAUGAAGAUCGAAGAAUCGAAGACUCAAAACAUGAAUGCACAAUGCUCGGUAAGUUUAAAUACCAUUGAUGAUGAUUUAUAAAUGUUUAAAAGUGUUUAGAAGACUUAGAUUGUGUUUUUGUUGAUCAAACUGGACUUUUCUAAAAAUCUUAGGGCUCAGGGACCAGUCCUUGAUCAGAAGGACCGGACCCAUCAAGCUUCUCUGCGUAGAAGUUUUGGGAGACCGGUCUCUGGUCUUGAGGACCGGUUCCCGUAAGUGGUUUAUCUUGUUGCGCAGGGAGGGACCGGUCUCUGAAUUGAGGACCGGUCCCCAUACGCAUGUUCCUCAGCUAUGCAGCGAAGGACCGGUUUUCAACUUGGAGGACCGGUCCCUCAAGGACCGGUCUCCUCAGGAGGACCGGACCCUGGGGAUGACGUCAGUUUUUAAAAUUGAGUUUUUGCAAUCCCAGUCUGUUUCUAAGUCUUCUAAACCUAUAAAUAAGAUGUAGGGGUGUUUCUAAAAGAGUAUGAAGGCAUAGAAUAUUGUUUUGAAACCCUAGAAACUUGUUGGGUGCAUUCUUUCUUCUCUCAAACAACAAGUUUCUAUUGGAUCAAUUCUUGAAACCCUAAUUUCUUGUUCUUCAUGGAAAAUUGAUCCGGCUAUUGCUUAGAAACAUCUUCUAUGGUUCUUUAAUGAUUGUCUAAGCAAUAAAUCAUCAUCAAUCUUGGUAUUCUUGCUCCGAACGGAGUAUGCUCGUGGAUUCGAGUGGGCGUCGUGGAUUCAGCGUGAUCAAGGCUUCGUGGAUUCGAAGUAUGGACGCUUUGUGGAUUAUGGACGUGGCGUUCGUGGAUUCGGACGUGGGGCGUGGACAACCUGUUGGUGUGCGCGAGAUCCGGAAAAGAUAGAAGAGAGGUUUGAAACCGUGGAUUCAGUAAAUCACCUUGUUAUCUUUUAUUCUUAGUGGAUUGUUAUCGCGUGUUGGUCCCGUGGGUUUUUCUCCAAGUUGGAGUUUUCCCACGUAAAUCUCGGUGUAAUUUUUAUUUUUCGCAUUUAUUUUGAUCGCAUUGAGAUUUGUGGUUUUUGGCCGUUACACCUAUUCACCCCCCCCUCUAGGUGUUGGAUACAAUCUAGAUAGAUCCUUGGGCACCCCAAAACUUUCAGGGGCAGCUCUUCACCUAUAUGAUUUGAGAUCUUAGGCGGGUUAGCCUAGUGGAUUGGGUAAUGACAUGAAUAGCUUAGUGGAUUGGCAUUCAUACCAUGAUUGGACAUUGUAUAUGUUGAGUGUAUUUAAGGCCGAGGUGUAUGUAAGGGUUCCUUCACCUCGAGCCGGACAAAGUGCGGUAUCCCGCAGUUGAUUGACUCGAGGCAAAGUCGAGUGGCUAGCUUGGAUAAGGUAGAGGAAACCUUAAAGGCUAGUGAUAGAUGACUUGGAUCUAGGGUAAUAGAAACCUUAGAAAGUAGUUUGAUGUGAACUAGAUGAUGAGAUAGAAAGUAGUAUCGGGUGAUCUACUAGUUUUUGCAUUACUUGCAUGAUUGCAUGGCAUUGUUGCAUUUGUGAGGCAAAGCAUGGUAUUAUUAGCUGCAUAAUUUAGAUAUCGUAUCUAUUUGUUUAUUAAACUAACCAUGAUAUUGUUGCAUUACUUGUUGGUCGAGCUUUUCCCUUGGGUGGCCGUACCCACUGGGAACCAUGGAGUUGGUUCUCACCCCACGUUGCUUUGGGGUGUUACAGGUUCGCACGUGAGCGGCGCGGCGGCGCGAGGAAAGGGCGUAGCUCCGUAGAUAGCGCCCUAUCCCAGAGACCAGAGAUAGCAGUACCCCAUCGACAUAGCUUAGGGGUAUAGGAAAGGAAGAGAACACAAUUAUAUCAAGUUGUAUUAAAUGAUGUAAUAACUGAGAUUGCAUUUGGAUGAAAAAGAAUUGUAAUUGGGAUGUAAAAGUUGAAUUGUAAAAGCAUGUAUGUGAAUGCUUUGUUAAGGAUUUUCUAGGUUGGCGGAUUUCGUGAAGUCGAAUGGAGUCUUGAAGAGUUGAUCGCGGAAGGUUUGAAGAGAAGAUUCAAUUUGAAGAGCAAAGACUCAUUUGGAAAGCACGGCACCUCAGGUAUGAAGAAUAGAUCAUUUUUGGUGAUUUUAUCUAAUUACAAUAAGUUUAGAAGAUUUGGAUUGCAAUAGAAAACACAAACUAAGGUUUUCAAUGUGCUGGGACCGGUCCCCUGAGAUGAGAGACUGGUUCCCGAGAGUUCUCUCUCCGUGGAAGUCUAAUGCAACCGGUCUCCUGAUCUGAGGGACCGGUCUCCUGGUCGGUGCAACCGGUCUCUGGCAUGAGAGACCGGUUCCCGAACGUUGGGAUUUUUGACUCGCAGAGAGAGACCGGUCUCUGGCAUGAGAGACUGGUUCCCGAACGUUGUGUUUUCUGUCACGCAGCGAGGGACCGGUCUCCCAUCCAAGGCACCGGUCUCUGACAGACCGGUCUCCUCGAGAGGACCGGUCCCUGAGGACGACACCAGUUUUUAAAAUAGACUUUUUGCAAUCUUAGUCUACUUCUAAGUCUUCUAAACCUAUAAAUAAGCCAUGGGAGUCAUCAUAUGAGUUGAGGCUUUGAAUUUCUACUGUUCUAAAACCCUAGAAACUUGUUUUCACAUUCUUAUGAUUUUAUUCAUAUAAAAGUCUCAUCUAAUCAACGAUCGACUUGAUUCUUAAGUUUUAACUCGAGAUUUUCUUCGAGAAUCAAGUAGAUGUUUGUUUAGAAGGGGAACCCUCAUUGCUUAUGAGAUUUU
rnacentral:lncRNA from 1 species